rnacentral:rRNA from 1 species
CGGAUUAGUGGCGAACGGGUGAGUAACAUAUCGGAACGUACCCAGUAAUGGGGGAUAACUAGUCGAAAGACUGGCUAAUACCGCAUACGCCCUGAGGGGGAAAGGCGGGGGAGUCGAAAGACCUCGUGUUAUUGGAGCGGCCGAUAUCUGAUUAGCUAGUUGGUGGGGUAAAGGCCUACCAAGGCGACGAUCAGUAGCUGGUCUGAGAGGACGACCAGCCACACUGGAACUGAGACACGGUCCAG